UGGGGAAUAUUGGACAAUGGGCGAAAGCCUGAUCCAGCCAUGCCGCGUGUGUGAAGAAGGUCUUCGGAUUGUAAAGCACUUUAAGUUGGGAGGAAGGGCAGUAAGCGAAUACCUUGCUGCCUUGACGUCACCGACAGAAUAAGCACCGGCUAACUCGGUGCCAGCAGCUGCGGUAAUACAGAGGGUGCAAGCGUUAAUCGGAAUUACUGGGCGUAAAGCGCGCGUAGGUGGUUCGUUAAGUUGAAUGUGAAAGCCCCGGGCUCAACCUGGGAACUGCAUCCAAAACUGGCGGGCUAGAGUAGGGCAGAGGGUGGUGGAAUUUCCUGUGUAGCGGUGAAAUGCGUAGAUAUAGGAAGGAACACCAGUGGCGAAGGCGACCACCUGGGCUCAUACUGACACUGAGGUGCGAAAGCGUGGGGAGCAAACAGG
rnacentral:rRNA from 1 species